rnacentral:lncRNA from 1 species
UCCACUCGCCAAGGCAACAGAAUCGAAACCUUUACCACGGUACCCACCAACAUUCACGCUCAUAUAUUCAUCGAAACCUCUAGGCGUGGCUCUACGUCGACAGGGAACCGGUAGAAACAGACUGUACCGCACCGAGAAGGCCACUGCCAUGCGGGAUCCUCCAUUGUAAUGUUGCUGCAACACCACACUCCACUUGACAGAGUGAUACCACCGAAUCCGGACCUCUCG